rnacentral:sRNA from 1 species
ACCGGUUGUGGUGGUGCACACCUGUAAUCCCAGAAACAUGGGAGGCUGAGGCAGGAGGAUGGCAAAUUCAAGAUCUAGCCUCAG